GGAGGCAGAGGCAUGAACGUCGAGACCGGCGAGGGAACCUUGCGCGGGUUCGAUUCCCGCCGCCUCCA
rnacentral:tRNA from 1 species